rnacentral:rRNA from 1 species
GGGUCAGUAGGUUGGUCGUGCCACCGGUACGUACUGGUCUCACUGAUUCCUCCUUCCUGAAGAACCGUAAUGCCAUUAAUUUGGUGCUGCGGGGAAACAGGACUGUUACUUUGAAAAAAUUAGAGUGUUUAAAGCAAGCUAACGCUUGAAUACAUUAGCAUGGAAUAAUGAAAUAGGACGAUCGAUCCUAUUUUGUUGGUUCCUAGGAUUGACGUA